rnacentral:rRNA from 1 species
GUAAGUUCCGACCUGCACGAAUGGUGUAACGAUCUGGGCACUGUCUCAGCCAUGAGCUCGGUGAAAUUGUAGUAUCGGUGAAGAUGCCGAUUACCCGCAACGGGACGGAAAGACCCCGUGAACCUUUACUAUAGCUUCACAUUGGUAUUGGGUAAUUCAUGUGUAGGAUAGGUGGGAGACUUUGAGGCUGCGUCGCCAGGCGUAGAUUAGUCGUUGUUGAAAUACCACCCUUGAAUUAUCUGAUGCCUAACCCGAUGAGGGGACAUUGUGUGGUGGGUAGUUUGACUGGGGUGGUCGCCUCCAAAAGAGUAACGGAGGCUCCUAAAGGUACCCUCAACACGCUUGGUAACCGUGUGUAGAGUGUAAUGGCAUAAGGGUGCUUGACUGAGAGACCGACAAGUCGACCAGGUAGGAAACUAGAGCAUAGUGAUCCGGUGGUUCCGCAUGGAAGGGCCAUCGCUCAAAGGAUAAAAGGUACUCCGGGGAUAACAGGCUGAUCACUCCCAAGAGCUCACAUCGACGGAGUGGUUUGGCACCUCGAUGUCGGCUCGUCACAUCCUGGGGCUGGGGAAGGGCCCAAGGG